CCUAAAUUCUAUCUUUCCAUACUGUAUUAUUCUCCCUUGGUUAUAAAAAACUCAUCCUUGAGUUCCGAAGUGUUGAAGGAUCAAGAACCAAGUAAGGAGAAUACGCAGUACGAUCUUCGUUAAUGGUGGCAACAAGAAUGAAGAAGUUUGCGCUCUCUUUUGUGUUCCUGGAAACAUCUAAGCAAAUAAAAUCAAUUAAAACAACAAUUAAGACUUGAUUAACUUUUUGCUCUAAAAUAGACUCUUCAACAGGUGAAGGCUGAACAACCACAACUUUGGAUUCUUCAAUUUUCAUUAUUUGCUUUGUAGCUUGAUUGUCUUCAAUUUCAAGUUGCUCUUCUUCAAUUUCAUCUUCAACUUGCUCUUUUUGUUCUUAAAUUUCAAGUUGUUUUUCUUGCUCUUCUUACGUUUCUUUGCUUUUCAAGACUUCGUGCUUUUAUAUUAUCAAUACUUUUUCUUGUAUCCAAUUGCUCUCUCAAUUGAAACAUAUGCUCUUCUUUCCAUGCUUCAUACUCUUUAAGUUCUUUAUCUUUAACUUAUUGAUAAUUUUGUUGAACAUGGUAUUCAUUCUCACACUCUUCAAGUGCUUUCUCCUUAUAUUAUAAGAUUAUUUGUAUAUCUUGAUA
rnacentral:misc_RNA from 1 species